rnacentral:tRNA from 1 species
GUCAGUUUGGCCGAGUGGUCUAAGGCGCUUGACUUGAACUUUGGGGAAACCCUUCCAUGUUUGGGCAUCAAGUAUCUUCGGAUGCACAGGUUCGAACCCUGUAGCUGACG